AUUGAACGCUGGCGGCAUGCUUUACACAUGCAAGUCGAACGGUAGAGGGGGCAACCCCUUGAGAGUGGCGAACGGGUGAGUAAUGCAGCGGAACGUGCCCCGUCGUGGGGAUAACGCAGCGAAAGCUGUGCUAAUAACGCAUACGAUCUCUGGAUGAAAGCGGUGGACCGAAAGGCCUCGCGCGAUGUGAGCGGCCGGUGUCUGAUUAGGUAGGUGGUGGGGUAAAGGCUCACCAAGCCAACGAUCUGUAGCUGGUCUGAGAGGACGACCAGCCACACUGGGACUGAGACUCGGCCCAGACUCCUACGGGAGGCAGCAGUGGGGAAUUUUGGACAAUGGGCGCAAGCCUGAUCCAGCAAUGCCGCGUGCAGGAAGAAGGCCUUCGGGUUGUAAACUGCUUUUGUACGGAACGAAAAGGUCUGGGUUAAUACCCUGGGCACAUGACGGUACCGUAAGAAUAAGCACCGGCUAACUACGUGCCAGCCGCCGCGGUAA
rnacentral:rRNA from 1 species